rnacentral:tRNA from 1 species
ACCAGAAUCGUACAAUCCGGUCUAGUAUGGGGGACUGUCACUCCUUCGACCCGGGUUCGAAUCCCGGCCCGGGCG